GAGGCAUUCAAAGAACAACAGACUGCCUUACUGGAACAUUUGAAGGCAGGAAGCACAGAAAAAAAGGAAAUACAUUUAUCUGGAGAUGGAAGAUCAGACAGUCCUGGAUAUUCGGCAAAGUACACCACAUUCAGCUUGAUGGAUGACAAUACAGACAAAGUGGUGCACUUUGAGCUGGUGCAAGUUACAGAAUCAUCAAGCUCUGUAGCAAUGGAGUCGACUGGUUUCAGGAGAGCACUCGGCAAAAUCCUAGAUGACGAUAUUGGAGUAAGUGUGGUGACAACUGAUAGAUCCCCAUCCAUUCGCAAGAUAAUGCGAGUCGACUACACAAACAUUCAU